rnacentral:lncRNA from 1 species
GAAUCCCUACGUGUGUAAAGGGGAUAAUUUUUGCUAUCAGUGCUUGCAGGAAUUCGAGUUAGUAUGGGUUCUGAGUAGCUAGGUGUAGUGGGGAGUCACGGGGAGAGAUUUUAGGAGAUGUGGGGAAUCAUCCAAAAAUCUGAUUUCUUAUUUUCAAUUUUGUAUUUCAAAAUCCCCAAAUUCUUCCCCUUCUUUCUUCUAACGUCAAUUCACUACUCCUCUGCCGAAAUUCUGCUCAAUUUGCCUCUGUUGAUCUUGGUUUUAUUUUCUUCCCCAUCACUUCUUUUUC